rnacentral:rRNA from 1 species
UACGUAGGGGGCGAGCGUUGUCCGGAUUUAUUGGGCGUAAAGAGCUCGUAGGCGGUUUGGCAAGUCGGGUGUGAAAACUCCGGGCUCAACUCGGAGACGCCACUCGAUACUGCCAUGACUCGAGUCCGGUAGGGGAGUGCGGAAUUCCUGGUGUAGCGGUGAAAUGCGCAGAUAUCAGGAAGAACACCCGUGGCGAAGGCGGUUCUCUGGGACGGUACUGACGCUGAGACGCGAAAGCGUGGGGAGCGAACAGG